GCAUUUGUGGUUCAGUGGUAGAAUUCUCACCUUCCAUGCAGGAGACCUAGGUUCCAUUCCCAGCCAAUGGA
rnacentral:tRNA from 1 species